rnacentral:misc_RNA from 1 species
GAUGAAGAACGUAGCGAAAUGCGAUAAGUAGUGUGAAUUGCAGAAUUCAGUGAAUCAUCGAAUCUUUGAACGCACCUUGCGCUCCCUGGUAUUCCGGGGAGCACGCCUGUUCGAGUGUCGCGAAAUUCUUCAAGCCUUGGAUGGAUUUUUUUUGUCUGUCCUUGGGCUUGGUUGUUGGGCUCUGCCGUGUCCUUCAUUGGGACGGCUGGCCUUAAAAGCAUUAGCCGAUCCUCGUGUGGUACUGGUUCUACUCAGCGUGAUAACAAUCUGAUCGUUGAGGACAUCUUCUGGAUGGCCAGUCAUCAUUUGGGUUGCUUCUAAACCGGUUUCGCAGAUUGCUCAAUCUGUGUGCCACUUUUCAGCUUUGACCUCGAAUCAGGUGGGACUACCCGCUGAACUUAAGCAUAUCAAUAAGCGGAGGA